rnacentral:rRNA from 1 species
CCUACGGGUGGCAGCAGUAGGGAAUCUUUCACAAUGGGCGAAAGCCUGAUGGAGCAACGCCGCGUGCAGGAUGAAGGCCUUCGGGUUGUAAACUGCUUUUAUAAGCGAGAAAUAUGAUGGUAACUUAUGAAUAAGGAUCGGCUAACUACGUGCCAGCAGCCGCGGUCAUACGUAGGAUCCGAGCAUUAUCCGGAGUAACUGGGUGUAAAGAGUUGCUUAGGUGGGAUAAUAAGUAGCUAGGGAAAUCUGGUGGCUUAACCAUUCAGACUAUUAGCUAAACUGUUAAGCUAGAGAACGUUAGAGGUAGCUGGAAUUUCUAGUGUAGGAGUGAAAUACGUAGAUAUUAGAAAGAACACCAGUAGCGUAGGCAGGUUACUGGGACGGUUCUGACACUAAGGCACGAAAGCGUAGGGAGCAAACGGGAUUAGAUACCCCGGUAGUC